rnacentral:lncRNA from 1 species
CACACACCGGGAAAGCUGGGUAACUUCACAGUCUGUGUGCAGAUAGGGCUGCACCCAUGGCAUAUGGAGUCGGAUUGGAGCUGUAGCUGCCACCCUUUGCCACAGCCACAGCAGUGUGGGAUCUGAGCGGCAUCUGGGACCUACACCACAGUUCACGGCAACACUGGAUCCUUAAGCCACUGAGCAAGGCCAGGGAUCGAACUUGCAGCCUCAUGGUUCCCAGUCGGAUUCGUUUUCCCUGCGCCAUGAUGGGAGCUCCUUAUUUAAUUCUUAUAACAACCCAUAGAAAGCACCCAGCACCGAUAGGGACUCUCCAUUGUGUUCUCCCUCGGCUCACUGUUGGAUGUCCUACUCCGAGUGGCCCCGGCAAAUGAACGCGGAGGAUUCCUGAGGACUCGGGCUCGAGAGCGCUCUCGUUUGGAAAACCAGCCCAAGUCCCGCGCUCUCUGAGGAUUUCUCUUCUUCCUACUGAUUGUGGACCUGUGUGCGUCUCUGUGAGCCGUCAGAGCUGGAGGAAACAUGGGCUGGCGACGGCCUCUGCAAAGGACAGAUGUGACUAAAGCCCGCACCAUUUACCUCAACGAACCCCACAGGAACAGCUUCUGCAAAAACUCCAUCAGGAAAUAUGGAAAUUCCCAGGCUAGGAGUCAGAGUGGAGCUACAGCUGCCGGCCUACACCACAGCCACAGCAAUGAGGGAUCCGAGCCAUAUCUGCGACCUACACCACAGCUCACAGCAACACCAGAUCCUUAACCCACUGAGCGAGGCCAGGGAUCGAGCCUGUGUCCUCAUGGAUCCUAGUCAGACGCGUUUCUACUGAGGCACGAUGGGAACUCUGAAACUCUGUAUUCUUGAGUAGUCACCUCCCAUCUCUGCACUAGCCUGAGGCAGUAUUUUUGUCUUAACUUUAUUUUAUGAUUAUUAUUAUUUUUGUCUUUUUGCCUUUUUCUAGGGCUGCACCCAUGGCAUAUGGAGGUUCCCAGGCUAGGGGUCUAAUCGGAGCUGUAGCCUCUAGCAUACACCAGAGCCACAGCAACGAGGGAUCCGAGCCGCAUCUGCAACACAACCACAGCUCACGGCAACGCUGGAUCCUUAACCCACUGAGCAAGGCCAGGGAUCGAACCUGCAACCUCAUGGUUCCUGGUUGGAUUGUUAACCACUGAGCCACGACGGUAACGCCUUAACUUUAAAUCUUUACCUGGGUGGACUCUUUUGGUGUGAGAAAUGAGGUGGGCAGCCAGCUUAAUUUAUUUUCCCAUUGAUUGAUCAGUCAUUUCAUUUCCAACAAGUUUGUAGUGCUUCUUUUGUUCUGUAAAUUCCUUUCUGUUCCUUUGUGGAUUUGGAGAGUUUAUUAUUGGCUUACUGAUUUGUCUUUCUUUCACUAGAACUUCACUCCUUAUAGCUCUGAUUUCUACUUUAUUUAAGCACCUAAAAAGCAAGAGAAUCUUCUGUUUUCUAAGUAGAUUUUUCUUUUUGUUUCUACUUCCAUUUUCUGUUUUUAUUGCAUUUUGGUCAGAGAAAUAUGGUGUGAGUUAUUUCUAUUUGAAAAUUCGUGUUAAAAUUUUGGUUCAUUGUAAGCAUUCCAACUUGAAAGAAUAUAUAUCCUCUAUAAAGAGCACAGAGUUUCAUAAAACACAUUAAUAUAAGUACACCUCUA